ACCUAGUGGGGAGAUUGGCGGAGUCGGCGGCCGAGCCCACUGGGAAUUAUGGAAGAUAGUUCUCACCCUACUUCAUUACAGGGUCGAGUGCGGGCGCGCCGGGCGAGGAUCGCGGCAAGGGCAUCGCGCCCGAGCAGUAGUUACAUUUCUAGCUUUCCUAUGCAUUAGAGUACCCUUUUGUAUCUAGAUGCUUUAUAUUUUGGAAGAGCUAAGUAUAUAUCUGGAGAUGAACAUGUAUUCAUUUUGGGAAUGAUGUAAUUAUAAAAAGAAUGCAAAUGUGAUGUAAUAGCUAGUUGAUCUCUCUUUAUUUCACUUGUAUUACUUGUGGAUUACUUGUUCUUAGUUGUAGGCACUAGUUGUGCCCUUCGUUGAUUGUGUACAUAUAGAAUUUAAAUUCCUAGGUAAAUUCUUAUACUCGAUCUGUUGUUGAGCCUUGGGCAGACAGGGGAGUUGCUGUCCGUUCGGCAUCUGUUCGAUGCGCCCGAAUCGGACCAAAUUGGUGGCGGUCUCGAGGCGUGAUAGAAGAAAAUGGUAUCAGAGCUGGUUCAGAACAAGUAAAGUAAACCGUAAGGUUAUAGGUGCGUAAGUGGAACGUGAACCUAUAACGGUAGCGGAAGUGAUUCGAUUGGGUCGAGAUAGGAGAUACGUCUCUAGUAGUUGAUAAAGAUGGAUUCAAGUGGUAUUAGUUCUUGACUUGAGGUGGUUGUGUCGGCGGC
rnacentral:lncRNA from 1 species